GACGAACGCUGGCGGCGUGCUUAACACAUGCAAGUCGAACGGAAAGGCCCUGCUUGCAGGGUACUCGAGUGGCGAACGGGUGAGUAACACGUGGGUGAUCUGCCCUGCACUUCGGGAUAAGCCUGGGAAACUGGGUCUAAUACCGGAUAGGAGCCAUUUUUAGUGUGAUGGUUGGAAAGUUUUUUCGGUGUAGGAUGAGCUCGCGGCCUAUCAGCUUGUUGGUGGGGUAAUGGCCUACCAAGGCGGCGACGGGUAGCCGGCCUGAGAGGGUGGACGGCCACAUUGGGACUGAGAUACGGCCCAGACUCCUACGGGAGGCAGCAGUGGGGAAUAUUGCACAAGGGGCGCAAGCCUGAUGCAGCGACGCCGCGUGGGGGAUGACGGCCUUCGGGUUGUAAACUCCUUUCGCUAGGGACGAAGCUUUUUGUGACGGUACCUAGAGAAGAAGCACCAGCUAACUACGUG
rnacentral:rRNA from 1 species